GUAUCGGCAGUGACAAAUUAAUAGAAGUAUUAGGUACAAUCAACAAAGAAAAUGGCGAUUGACGGAGUU